rnacentral:snRNA from 1 species
AACACAAUGUCUACCCACUCAAAA